GGGAGGGCAGAGGGGACGUCCCCGACUGCGGCCCGCCCCCCGCCGUGUCGCGACGCACGUAGGCCCCAGGACUCCGCAAGGGUGCCGUCCCGCGCUGCGGGCUUUGGGAGCCCCGACCCGGCCGGGGAUCGUGCCUGCUCCUCGGGCCCGACCCCCACCCCCCCGUGCACGCCAACCCUUUCCGUGUGGAGAAGCGGGCAUUGUUUCGCUGACGCCUCAGUGAAAAUCGGACGGGCCUUGAGCGCCCGCCUGGCCCCGGGACCCCGGAGGGCGCCAGAGAUGACGGAAGUCUGUGUCCCGAGGUUCAGGAAGGCGGUCUCGACUCUCGGUUUUGUGGAAGAAGCAAAUGAGACCUUAUUCUUUGUGUGUGUGGCGGGGGGGGGGGGGGGGGAGGUUAAAGACAUGCGGCACGCCCACAUUCCCAUGUGCAUGCAGAGCAGAUUCGCGGAAGAUACCCGAGAGCCACGUCGGCGGGGCUUCUGGAGGCACGGGGUCUGGGGGAAAGGGAGUCUCGUUCUCCCUGAGCGGCGCAGUGAGCGGACUCGCAGUGUGUCUCCGCUUAAUAGACCCCCGCCAGAGGAAAGCCCGCGCCCCGCCGCGGCCAAGCCCCGCUGGCCUUUUUUUGCGAAUCACUCGACGCCCCCUUUGGCCGGGGUCGCGAGGACAGGAUCGCUGAAGCCCCUCCCACCCGCUGCCCCGCCCCUGGUGAAGGCGGGACGACGAGACCCCACUUUUCCACGGGAGAAAAGCCGAGGUGUGGUCCUUUGUGGAGACCUCACGGUUUGUGAGAGUUCGCACCCCAGGGCCCUCGCUAGCGUCGCCCGGCUAAGCGGGAGGCUGCGGCCCUUCAUUACCCCCACCCCACGCCAGGGCCCGAAAGGCACGAUGCCCCGCCCCUCCCGGGACGGCUCUGUGGGGGCGGGCCACCCGCCUUCCCGCCUCCAGGCCGCGCCCACUCCCCAAUGAGGGCUGGGCACGCCCCUGAUGCGAGGCGCCGUGCUUGCCGAGCCACCCCUCCCAGAGGCGCGGUGCUUCACCUCGCCUUCUGUCUCUGGCGUUCCCUUAAACUGACGGCGUGGCUCGAGGGGCUGCUUAAUUCCCCCAAUUCUAUGUUAGAUGCUCUCGCCCCCCCCCAUCCGAAGUAAACAACCGAAGCUAGGGGAAAACGGGAGGCUUGCUACGCUAACGCAGCCUCAAGAACGGCUCCCGGUCCCCUUCCAACCAAAGGCACCCGCCCCCCAAUACAGAAAUUCAGGAGGUGCUUCGAUUGUGCUGUGGGUGACCGAGAGCCUUGCUGUCCCCAUUCCCUUAGAAUCCUGCCUCAGGGCUGGAGGCAAUGAGUUGCCAUUCUUGCCCGGCCCCCGUGCUUGGCCACAGGCCGCGGCCACACCAGCGUGGUUUCAUCUGGGGUUUCAUCCACUCACACGAGGUGAAUGGACUCUGUGUCUCCUCCCCGCACGGCGUCGCGUUGCCCGCGUUUUCCAAGGCUUCUGGAAGCCAGGACCGCGUGGGCAGCUGAGGGUGGAGGAGCUGAGAGGGGAACUCCCGUCUCCAGCCCUGCCCUGGGAGCCAGGUUCUUAAGGGUUAAGCCGGCCCAUCUUCCCACCAUCCCUUUCCAUAUUAGGAACCCAGGAGCCCUGCCUCCCAGUAAGGAAGCCGAUCUCAUUUUCUGAAAUGGAACAGGAGCCAUCUCCCAGCCCCUACUCCAAAAUCUGCAGUUCAGUAGCUGUCCGUGCCUCAGAUUCUACCAUCAGAGCUUCAUUUUUUUCAUUAGGGCUUGUCUUUUUGUUCCUGAAAGAAAUCACACCUAGAAGAAAAAGAGGCAGAGUAUCAGGCACUUGGAAAAAGAUCUGACCUGAGGUGAAGUAAAGGUAACUCUCCCACCCCCAACCCUCUCAACCUCAUCCCUCCAAGGCUGAGAUUUUGGGAACUCACCUGGGGAGCUCAAGCGAGUGGGUCGUCUCCAGGAGCCUUGCUCCAUGCCUUUCCAGCAACCUUGUUCCACAUCCUCUGACCUUCAAGGACCAGCCUCUCUCCCCAGGCCUCUACCCUUGUGCGCACCAAGUCUUUUUCCGUGUGGGCUGAGAACUGCAGCCUGGUUCAAAGGCCCCAGGGAAAUGCCCCUGCCCUGUGCCGUGCUGCCAGGCACCUGACACCCCCAGCAACUCUUGCCCCUCUUGAUGUCCCUUUUGCCCUGCUGGGCUCCUAGCUCAGCGUGCUGCCCCCUCCAGGCCCCAGCUCCUCUGAGCCGCUCCUUGUCCUGCCCACCCUGACUACCGCAUCCAUCUUUGUCUUCUCUGGGGCUGUUAAUUCAUCUUUGAGCCUCGGCUGUAGGGUCACCUGUCUGGAAAGCCUUCCUGGGUGCUCCAAGGGGGAGUCAGGCUCCCCUUCCCUGUGCUCCCACAGCACUGAGGGCCGUGCCUUCCGCGCCACAGGCUCUGCAAGUUCAACAUCUGGUCUGUGCCACUCCCUACUCCGGCAGACCACGAGCCCUUCCACGACCAAGCCAGGACCCACACUGAGGCAGAGCCCCGUGGACCUGAUGCCUGGCCCCUUCUGCUCUCCCUGGCACUCCCGUCACUUCUGGCCACUGGACCGUGCCUGCUCACCAAGCCCCACUGAAGGGUGCAAGUGAGUGUGGGGAAGGUGGGCACAGCAGCCCCUGAGGCCCAAGCCGAGGCUGGGCUCCUCUUUCCUGGCAGGUGCUCAGACAGAGCCCCGGAGCAGGACUGGAGGCCGUCAGAGAAGGACCGGCGGGUAUGGCUGGCAGAGCGCAGCUGGCAGCGUUGGCUGACCACCUGUGGACGGCGCUGGAGGCCCUAUUGAGCGAGUACAGUCGCCGCAGAUGCAGGGAUGCGAGCUGGGACUCUGCAGGGCCCUGUGUGAGCUCCUCACUCUGGGGCACAGAGUGAGGUUCCCGUCCUUCUCUCCCUGGUCUUCCUUGCUUAUCUGCAGGCCCAGGGAGCACCCCUGAGCUAGAAAAUCCUCUUCCCAGGCCGAGAGCUCUAGAAUGCUCGGGGCUCGUUGCCCACAUCUGGGGUCAGGUUCUCAGGAAGGCUUGUCAAGGUCUGGGGCAUCCAAACGAAACAGGAAUCGAGUCCCCAACAGA